CUUUUCUCGAUAAAUUUAUUUUUAUAUAAUUAUUUUGUUUGCCAUCUUAUUUUAACUCUACUUCUGAUAAUACGGCAGACAGACAAUAUUUAUUGAGAUAAGAGAGACGUCCAUACGAUUAAGAGAAUGAAGUACACACCGAUAGCAAUCCUAGCCGCCUUGAUUCUUCUGGUUAAAACUAAUGAAGCUUUCAUGUUCGGCAGUGGAGUUGUACCUAUUGCAAACCCGAACCGGAACCCACCCCCAAUGAUCGCAGAAACGACAACAGUGCCUACAACUACAGAAGAAACAGCCAGCACUAUGACUAGUUCAAACCCAAAAGUCAGUGGAGGCCUACUGGAUCUGAAAUUGCUAGAUCAACUCCGUCUUUGCCUUUUUUGUGAAGAAACAGCCAGCACUCCUAUGACUAUUCCAAACAAAAAAAAGAGUGGAGGCCUACUGAACGCGGAACUGAAUUUGCUAAAUAUACUGAACGCGGAACUGAAUUUUCGCUAAAUAUACUUCAAGGCGAUCUUUGCAUUUUGUGUGGCUCCAAGAGAUAACCAGAUGAUAAAAUGCAAACCAUAGCUUGAUAUACACGUACUAAUAAAAUCAUGGACAUUUA